rnacentral:rRNA from 1 species
AUUGAACGCUGGCGGCAGGCCUAACACAUGCAAGUCGAGCGGAUGAAGGGAGCUUGCUCCUGGAUUCAGCGGCGGACGGGUGAGUAAUGCCUAGGAAUCUGCCUGGUAGUGGGUGAUAACGUCCGGAAACGGGCGCUAAUACCGCAUACGUCCUGAGGGAGAAAGUGGGUGAUCUUCGGACCUCACGCUAUCAGAUGAGCCUAGGUCGGAUUAGCUAGUUGGUGGGGUAAAGGCCUACCAAGGCGACGAUCCGUAACUGGUCUGAGAGGAUGAUCAGUCACACUGGAACUGAGACACGGUCCAGACGCCUAAGGGAGGCAGCAGUGGGGAAUAUUGGACAAUGGGCGAAAGCCUGAUCCAGCCAUGCCGCGUGUGUGAAGAAGGUCUUCGGAUUGUAAAGCACUUUAAGUUGGGAGGAAGGGCAGUAAGUUAAUACCUUGCUGUUUUGACGUUACCAACAGAAUAAGCACCGGCUAACUUCGUG